GACGAACGCUGGCGGCGUGCUUAACACAUGCAAGUCGAACGGAAAGGCCCUGCUUUUGUGGGGUGCUCGAGUGGCGAACGGGUGAGUAACACGUGAGUAACCUGCCCUUGACUUUGGGAUAACUUCAGGAAACUGGGGCUAAUACCGGAUAGGAGCUCCUGCUGCAUGGUGGGGGUUGGAAAGUUUCGGCGGUUGGGGAUGGACUCGCGGCUUAUCAGCUUGUUGGUGGGGUAGUGGCUUACCAAGGCUUUGACGGGUAGCCGGCCUGAGAGGGUGACCGGGCACCAUGGGACUGAGGUAGGGACCAGACUCCUACGGGAGGCAGCAGUGGGGAGUAUUGCACAAUGGGCGGAAGCCUGAUGCAGCGGCGCCGCGUGCGGGAAGACGGCCUUCGGGUUGUAAACCGCUGUCGCCUGUGACGAAGCGUGAGUGACGGUAAUGGGUAAAGAAGCACCGGCUAACUACGUG
rnacentral:rRNA from 1 species